GUUGUGAGAAUUUAAUCUCGUGAGUUAUCGUAAUUGUUGUAUUAAGUUACCUACCUAGUUCGUGUGCACUAGGUUACAAGGCUAAAUCAAUAGGCUAAGCUCUGCCUGUAUAAAUCUACAAUAUAUCAAGCUUUGGCCGUAUGAAUCUGCAUGAUUAUAAUGUAAUUACAGUAGAUUGGAGUAAAGAUUGGAUCCGGCACUGAAGGACUUCAAGAAGUGGCUUAUUUUAUUAAUUAAAUCAAAUUAAGAAAUAUUGUUUUUAUUAAAAGCUACCUUUGUAACAAUGGAAUUUAUUCCAUCUAUUUAAAUAAAAUCUGGUGU
rnacentral:lncRNA from 1 species